UGAGGAAUAUUGGUCAAUGGGCGAGAGCCUGAACCAGCCAAGUAGCGUGCAGGAUGACGGCCCUAUGGGUUGUAAACUGCUUUUAUAAGGGAAUAAAGUGAGAGUCGUGACUCUUUUUGCAUGUACCUUAUGAAUAAGGACCGGCUAAUUCCGUGCCAGCAGCCGCGGUAAUACGGAAGGUCCGGGCGUUAUCCGGAUUUAUUGGGUUUAAAGGGAGCGUAGGCCGGAGAUUAAGCGUGUUGUGAAAUGUAGACGCUCAACGUCUGCACUGCAGCGCGAACUGGUUUCCUUGAGUACGCACAAAGUGGGCGGAAUUCGUGGUGUAGCGGUGAAAUGCUUAGAUAUCACGAAGAACUCCGAUUGCGAAGGCAGCUCACUGGAGCGCAACUGACGCUGAAGCUCGAAAGUGCGGGUAUCGAACAGG
rnacentral:rRNA from 2 species